CCACUUAUCCCAUAAAAAAUACACUAAUGGGUAUUCAGCGGGUAGACCAGGUGUACACACCUAACCGACAACUUAUUGAUGGCCCCAGGUUCAGAGUCUUAUUCAACAUGCUAGACAGCAAACUAUUUGACUCACAAACCAAUUCCAUAGUCUUUUAUGGCAUCUUACGCCCCUGCGAAUUUACCAUAGGUUUCUCAGUGGAGGCACCCCAAUGUUUGAAAUUCAGAGAUCUCAUUAGAACAGGAGAUCAUUACAAGAUUAUCAAACACAGCAAAACUAACCAAUCAGGUUGGCAGUAAAAAUUGGAUUUUAUCCCACAGGAAACCAAUGGUGUAUCAGCCCUAAACGGAUAUAGUCGGACUUUCACAGCUUAUUCAUGCAAUCCAUUCGUCCUAUACCGGUUCAGGGAUAUGCCGUUCGGGAUGAAGGACGCCCCAGCCACCAUCCAAUGGAUGGUAGAUCGCCUCCUAGAUCAGUGAUGGCUAAACACAGGUGGCACGCCGAGCCCCCUCUGUGGUCACGCGGCCACAGGUCGCC